CCUACGGGAGGCUGCAGUAGGGAAUAUUGCUCAAUGGGGGAAACCCUGAAGCAGCAACGCCGCGUGGAGGAUGAAGGUUUUAGGAUUGUAAACUCCUUUUGUGAGAGAAGAUAAUGACGGUAUCUGACGAAUAAGCACCGGCUAACUGCGUGCCAGCAGCCGCGGUAAUACGGAGGAUGCGAGCGUUAACCGGAUUUAUUGGGUUUAAAGGGUGCGCAGGCGGAAGAUCAAGGCAGCGGUAAAAUUGAGGGGCUCAACCCCUUCGCGCCGUUGAAACUGGUUUUCUUGAGUGGGCGAGAAGUAUGCGGAAUGCGUGGUGUAGCGGUGAAAUGCAUAGAUAUCACGCAGAACUCCGAUUGCGAAGGCAGCAUGCCGGCUCUCAACUGACGCUCAUGCACGAAAGUGUGGGUAUCGAACAGGAUUAGAUACCCUGGUAGUC
rnacentral:rRNA from 1 species